rnacentral:tRNA from 1 species
GGUGUAGCUCAGUCGGUUAGAGUGCCGGCCUGUCACGCCGGAGGUCGCGGGUUCGAGCCCCGUCACUCGCGCCA